rnacentral:rRNA from 1 species
UACGUAGGGUGCAAGCGUUAAUCGGAAUUACUGGGCGUAAAGCGUGCGCAGGCGGUUUUGUAAGCCAGAUGUGAAAGCCCCGGGCUUAACCUGGGAACUGCAUUGGUGACUGGCAGGCUUUGAGUGUGGCAGAGGGAGGUAGAAUUCCACGUGUAGCAGUGAAAUGCGUAGAGAUGUGGAGGAAUACCGAUGGCGAAGGCAGCCUCCUGGGCCAACACUGACGCUCAUGCACGAAAGCGUGGGGAGCAAACAGG